GCAGCCGCGGUAAUACGUAGGGGGCAAGCGUUAUCCGGAUUUACUGGGUGUAAAGGGAGCGUAGACGGUUCAGCAAGUCUGAAGUGAAAGCCCGGGGCUCAACCCCGGGACUGCUUUGGAAACUGUUGAACUAGAGUGCAGGAGAGGUAAGCGGAAUUCCUAGUGUAGCGGUGAAAUGCGUAGAUAUUAGGAGGAACACCAGUGGCGAAGGCGGCUUACUGGACUGUAACUGACGUUGAGGCUCGAAAGCGUGGGGAGCAAACAGGAUUAGAUACCCC
rnacentral:rRNA from 1 species